UGCAGUGUUUCAAGACUCUGUCCCUCUGGUGGAGCAAUCUCAGUCUUUCUGGAUGCUUCUGCUUCCCACUCAGGCAGAUCCAGUCUACUUGGAGCAGAAUGAAUUAAGGAGAUAAAAUGGGCUGUAUCACUUCAGGCUUCAGUCCAAAGCCUGAAGUGCCACUACUGUCUACGGGAGAACCCAACUCAAGGCUGUGACGGAAAAGUGAAUGUAUGUUUCCCAAAAGACAAACAAAAAUGCAUUGCAGUCACUGUCCUUCAUCAAAACAAAUUGAAGUACAGGAUGGAAGGCUGUACCAAUAGCGUCACUGACUGUACCAGAAGAAGGGCACAGAGGGUUGGCUAUUCUGUGACUGUCUCGUGCUGUGAAACAGAUUUGUGCAACCACUGGGAAGCUGACCAUUAGUUUGAAAGAAAACACAGGCAACAUCAGGAAUCUUAUAGUUCUUUGCAAUUUGGCACCCACAAUAGAUUGUAAGUGGAGUAGGAGUGUAUGUGUGUGCAGGCACCUGUGUGUGUUUAUGAUUCUGUAUAUAUGUGUUAUCAGUGGUGAAUGUACAGCUUUUAGUUUUGCUAAAACUCUAAUUUCUUCCAUUGUAUAUUAAUUUUGGCCUGCAUUAAUGUCAGUUUGUGAACAUGACAGUUUGCCUAAGAAAAUCUAGCACUUAAAAUGGCACACAAUUUGUGUGUCUUUCCUCUAGCAUACAUAUUUUAUAUGGGCCAUAUUGAGUUUGUACACUUUUUGCAAGCAUUUUCUUAAUGUACUGUAUUUUUGUAAGAAUUUAAUAUAUAGAUUUUGUGUGUAAUUUUCUUUAAUGCCUGCACAAACAUCUCUCUAGCUGUUAAAGCGAAUUUCCCUCCAAAAUCUGUGGGUGGAGGAGGGCAGGACUAGUGCUGA